rnacentral:pre_miRNA from 1 species
UAGUGAUGAUGAUGAUGAUGAUGAUGAUGGUGAUGAUGAUUAUGACGACGACGCUGACGAUCAACAUCAGCAUCAUUAUCGCCAUCGUCGUCAUCAUCAUCACCA